rnacentral:rRNA from 1 species
GCUCUGUUAGUUAAAGAAGAACACGUAUGAGAGUAACUGUUCAUACGUUGACGGUAUUUAACCAGAAAGUCACGGCUAACUACGUGCCAGCAGCCGCGGUAAUACGUAGGUGGCAAGCGUUAUCCGGAUUUAUUGGGGCGUAAAGAGAGUGCAGGCGGUUUUCUAAGUCUGAUGUGAAAGCCUUCGGCUUAACCGGAGAAGUGCAUCGGAAACUGGAUAACUUGAGUGCAGAAGAGGGUAGUGGAACUCCAUGUGUAGCGGUGGAAUGCGUAGAUAUAUGGAAGAACACCAGUGGCGAAGGCGGCUACCUGGUCUGCAACUGACGCUGAGACUCGAAAGCAUGGGUAGCGAACAGGAUUAGAUACCCUGGUAG